rnacentral:rRNA from 1 species
GAUGAACGCUGGCGGCGUGCCUAAUACAUGCAAGUCGAACGCAUUGUGGUUGAAAUGAUAUGAAGAACUUGUUCAGAUUUGAUUUUCAACAUUGCAAUGAGUGGCGAACGGGUGAGUAACACGUGGGAAACCUACCUCUUAGCAGGGGAUAACAUUUGGAAACAAAUGCUAAUACCGUAUAAUAAUUAAAACCGCAUGGUUUUAGUUUAAAAGAUGGUCUUGCUAUCACUAAGAGAUGGUCCCGCGGUGUAUUAGUUAGUUGGUGAGGUAAUGGCUCACCAAGACAAUGAUACAUAGCCGAGUUGAGAGACUGACCGGCCACAAUGGGACUGAGACACGGCCCAUACUCCUACGGGAGGCAGCAGUAGGGAAGUCUUCCACAAUGGACGAAAGUCUGAUGGAGCAACGCCACGUGUGUGAUGAAGGGUUUCGGCUCGUAAAACACUGUUGUAAGAGAAGAAUGACAUUGAGAGUAACUGUUC